rnacentral:rRNA from 1 species
GGAUGCGAUCAUACCAGCACUAAUGCACCGUGUCCCAUCAGAACUCCGAAGUUAAGCGUGCUUGGCGAGAGUAGUACUAGGAUGGGUGACCCCCUGGAAGUCCUCGUGUUGCAUCCC